rnacentral:rRNA from 1 species
AGCGAACGCUGGCGGCAGGCUUAACACAUGCAAGUCGAGCGGGCACUUUCGGGUGUCAGCGGCGGACGGGUGAGUAACGCGGGGGAACGUGCCCUCGGGUUCGGAAUAACUCAGGGAAACUUGAGCUAAUACCGGAUACGCCCUUUUGGGGAAAGGCUUGCUGCCGGAGGAUCGGCCCGCGUCUGAUUAGCUGGUUGGUGAGGUAACGGCUCACCAAGGCGACGAUCAGUAGCUGGUCUGAGAGGAUGAUCAGCCACACUGGGACUGAGACACGGCCCAGACUCCUACGGGAGGCAGCAGUGGGGAAUAUUGGACAAUGGGCGCAAGCCUGAUCCAGCCAUGCCGCGUGAGUGAUCAAGGCCUUAGGGUUGUAAAGCUCUUUUAUCCGGGACGAUAAUGACGGUACCGGAGGAAUAAGCCCCGGCUAACUUCGUG